GCCGCCCCGGUGGCGGCCGCGGCCAAGGCCCAGGUGCCCGCCUCGCCUUCGCUCGAUCUGAGCCUCGGGAUGUCGGCCAUGGUGGCCGCCCAGCCGUUCCUGUUCCUCGACCCCAGGGUCGCGGUGACCGUGGCCGUCGCGGCACCGGUGCCUCGCCGGCCGGCCGUCGUCAGCGUCAAGAAGGAGGUAGCUCGCCUGGACGAGCAGAGCGACACCGGCUCGUCGUCAUCCGUGGUGGACGCCUCGCCGGCCGUCGGCGUGGGGCUCGACCUGAACCUGCCGCCGCCGAUCGAGGAGGCGUAGGUUGCAGCGCCCGAUGACGACGACAAGACCCCCCCAC
rnacentral:lncRNA from 1 species